rnacentral:lncRNA from 1 species
CUUGUGUACAAUUUGGAAAUUAGUAUGGCGUUCAUUAUCACUGGACUAGUAUAUAUUUGUUUAGGGGCCAGCUGAAGGACGCCUCCGGGUGCGGGAAUUCUCGCUACAUUGAAGACCUGUUGGUGACCCUCUGCUGUUGUUUUUUAUUUGGGCGGGUUGUUGUCUCUUUGACACAUUCCCCAUUUCCAUUCUCAAUUUUAAGUGUU